UACGUAGGUGGCAAGCGUUGUCCGGAAUUACUGGGUGUAAAGCGCGUGUAGGCGGGAGGCCAAGUCUGUGGUGAAAUCGCCUGGCUUAACUGGGCGGGGUCCAUGGAAACUGGUCACCUGGAGGUCGGUAGAGGCAAGUGGAAUUCCCGGUGUAGUGGUGAAAUGCGUAGAGAUCGGGAGGAACACCAGUGGCGAAGGCGGCUUGCUGGGCCGGACCUGACGCUGAGACGCGAAGGCGUGGGGAGCGAACCGG
rnacentral:rRNA from 1 species